AGAGUUUGAUCCUGGCUCAGGAUGAACGCUAGCGACAGGCUUAACACAUGCAAGUCGAGGGGCAGCAAUAAAGUAGCAAUACUUUGGUGGCGACCGGCGCACGGGUGAGUAACGCGUAUGCAACCUACCUAUCAGGAGGGGAACUAACCGGCGAAAGUCGGACUAAUACCGCAUAAAACAGGGGCACCGCAUGGUGAUAUUUGUUAAAGAAAUUCGCUGAUAGAUGGGCAUGCGUUCCAUUAGGUAGUUGGUGAGGUAACGGCUCACCAAGCCGACGAUGGAUAGGGGAACUGAGAGGUUGGUCCCCCACACUGGUACUGAGACACGGACCAGACUCCUACGGGAGGCAGCAGUGAGGAAUAUUGGUCAAUGGGCGAGAGCCUGAACCAGCCAAGUCGCGUGAAGGAAGAAGGAUCUAUGGUUCGUAAACUUCUUUUGCAGGGGAAUAAAGUGCAGGACGUGUCCUGUUUUGUAUGUACCCUGAGAAUAAGGAUCGGCUAACUCCGUGCCAGCCGCCGC
rnacentral:rRNA from 1 species